rnacentral:rRNA from 1 species
GACGGAGGGUGCAAGCGUUGUUCGGAUUGACUGGGCGUAAAGGGCGUGUAGGCGGCUUGUCAAGUCACUUGUGAAAUCUCUGGGCUUAACCCAGAACGGCCAAGUGAAACUGACAUGCUAGAGUGCAGAAGGGGCAAUCGGAAUUCUCGGUGUAGCGGUGAAAUGCGUAGAUAUCGAGAGGAACACCAGAGGUGAAGACGGGUUGCUGGGCUGACACUGACGCUGAGGCGCGAAAGCCAGGGGAGCAAACGGG